UGGGGAAUUUUGGACAAUGGGCGCAAGCCUGAUCCAGCCAUGCCGCGUGCGGGAAGAAGGCCUUCGGGUUAUAAACCGCUUUUGUCAGGGAAGAAAUCUUCUGAGUUUAUACCUCGGGAGGAUGACGGUACCUGAAGAAUAAGCACCGGCUAACUACGUGCCAGCAGCCGCGGUAAUACGUAGGGUGCAAGCGUUAAUCGGAAUUACUGGGCGUAAAGCGUGCGCAGGCGGUUUUGUAAGACAGAGGUGAAAUCCCCGGGCUCAACCUGGGAACUGCCUUUGUGACUGCAAGGCUUGAGUGCGGCAGAGGGGGGAUGGAAUUCCGCGUGUAGCAGUGAAAUGCGUAGAUAUGCGGAGGAACACCGAUGGCGAAGGCAAUCCCCUGGGCCUGCACUGACGCUCAUGCACGAAAGCGUGGGGAGCAAACAGGAUUAGAUACCCUGGUAGUCCACGCCCUAAACGAUGUCAACUGGUUGUUGGGAAGGUUCCUUCUCAGUAACGUAGCUAACGCGUGAAGUUGACCGCCU
rnacentral:rRNA from 1 species